CACCACUAAGAACUCAAGUGGACAGAACGUCCCUUGUACAAUUACAAAUGGAAGUGGACUUACCAAAUUGGAGUUGUUCUCAUUGAAGGCUAUGGCUUCUGCUAAAGAUCGCACCGGAGAAAUCACCAGCUCAUUCAGGAGAGAUUGGGAUGACUCCAUUUCUGCUGGUGAGACCAACUGUUGGCUUGAUGCCCACUACCGAGUUGUAGCUGGAGGGACAUAUAAUGGAGCCAUCAGUUUCAGUCCCCAAGGACACUGUAGCCAUGUUUGCUGCGACUGAUAUUGCUGAUCCACCGCUUGACCCACAAGGAUCCGCAACCAAAACAUAGGGAUUCUGCAUUGAGAUUCAGAACAAAAAGGUAAACUAAUUUUUGACAGACUGAUGAUGAUUAACAAACCUUUCCUUGGCCACCUCUGGCACUGAAACCAUUGGGUAGACUGAAUGACCUGAAACCAGACCAUUCAUUCAAGUUAGCCUUUCCCAGUAUGAUGGCUC